AUAGCCCUGCUGUGCUCGUGAUCGCCGAACUGGGGUUUUGAGCCAACACCUAUACAACGGGAACCGAUCUCGCGGACAGGGAUGCGGUAGCCCUUUGGGCAAGGCAGACCUGCCGGGUAGGUUCCCACCUGCGAAAGCGGGUUCAAAACUUUGCGGCACACGGCAUGGCGGGGCCUUU
rnacentral:other from 1 species